rnacentral:rRNA from 1 species
GAUGAACGCUGGCGGCGUGCCUAAUACAUGCAAGUCGAGCGAACGGACGAGAAGCUUGCUUCUCUGAUGUUAGCGGCGGACGGGUGAGUAACACGUGGAUAACCUACCUAUAAGACUGGGAUAACUUCGGGAAACCGGAGCUAAUACCGGAUAAUAUUUUGAACCGCAUGGUUCAAAUGUGAAAGACGGUCUUGCUGUCACUUAUAGAUGGAUCCGCGCUGCAUUAGCUAGUUGGUAAGGUAACGGCUUACCAAGGCAACGAUGCAUAGCCGACCUGAGAGGGUGAUCGGCCACACUGGAACUGAGACACGGUCCAGACUCCUACGGGAGGCAGCAGUAGGGAAUCUUCCGCAAUGGGCGAAAGCCUGACGGAGCAACGCCGCGUGAGUGAUGAAGGUCUUCGGAUCGUAAAACUCUGUUAUUAGGGAAGAACAUAUGUGUAAGUAACUGUGCACAUCUUGACGGUACCUAAUCAGAAAGCCACGGCUAACUACGU